UGCCUCAUAAGUCAAGACUUUGGCUACACCAUUUACUCUACAGCUGUUGCCUUUUACAUUCCAAUGUCUGUAAUGCUGUUCAUGUACUACAGAAUUUUUAAAGCAGCAAAGCAGAGUGCUGCAAAACACAAGUUUACAGCUUUUCCCCGUCCUGAAGAGAGUGAAGGAAUGAUCACAGCAAAUGGGGUUGUGAAAAUGCACAGAGAAACGGAAGAAUGCUCACAUUUCUCAAAGCUACUCAGAAAUGACAGGAAAAAUAUUUCCAUCUUUAAACGGGAACAAAAGGCUGCUACAACACUUGGAAUUAUUGUAGGAGCAUUCACCAUUUGCUGGUUACCUUUUUUCAUACUUUCAACAGCAAGACCUUUUAUCUGUGGAACUGAAUGCAGUUGCAUUCCUUUGUGGAUGGAGAGGACCUUUUUAUGGUUGGGAUAUGCAAACUCUUUGAUCAAUCCUUUUAUUUACGCUUUUUUUAAUAGAGAUCUGAGGACAACUUAUCGAAAUCUGCUACAAUGCAGAUACAGAAACAUCAACAGAAAGUUGUCUGCUGCAGGCAUGCAUGAGGCUUUGAAGCUUGCAGAAAGACCUGACCAUAUCCUUUCCAAGGAAAAAUAGACCAAGAGGGAUGUUGAACAAUCUUAUGAUGAAGAAAAUCCUGCUCUCGAGAAGAUCUUCUACAAGAGCACUAUCUCAGCAGGCUAUAUUCAUAAUCCAAGAUUAAAUCAUAUACUGUUCCCCUAAAGACAGAACAACAUUUAAAUCCUUAAAUUAUAUUUUACACAAGUGUACAUACCAAAUAAAUUAUUUUAUAGAUACUGUAUGUUAUUGCAAAUCAGAUAUUGCUGUGCGAUUAUUUUGUCUCUUUAAAUAACCAACAAAUAGAGGCUAAUACAAAAUAUUAGGAAAAUACUUUCCAAUGGCAUUAGACAGAUAGGAAGAG